UCCAGGUCGACUUGUUANGUNNANUUNGUNNNAGCCCCGGNNCUNNCCUNGNANUUGCAUUUUGAACCUGGCAUGCCUAGAGUCUNGUAGAGGGGGGUAGACUUUCAGGUGUAGNGGUGAAAUGGGUAGAGAUNNGAAGGGUAUNUCAGCGNNGNAGCUGGCCCCCCUGUUCAAAUAUUGACGUUCAGAUGUGAAAGCGUGGGGAGCAAACAGGAUUAGAUUCCUUGGUAGUUCNCGCCGUAAACGAUGUNUACUUGGAGGUUGUGGCCUUGAGCCGUGGCUUUAGGAGCCCACGCGUUAAGUAGAUUGCGUGGGGAGUACGGUCGCAAGAUUAUAACUCUAAUGAAUUGACGGGGGCCCGCACAAGCGGUGGAGCAUGUGGUUUAAUUCGAUGCAACGCGAAGAACCUUACCUACUCUUGACAUCCAGAGAAGCUUGAAGAGAUUUGAGUGUGCUUUCGGGAACUAUGAGUCAGGUGCUGCAUGUUCGUCGUCAGCUCGUGUUGUGAAAUGUUGGGUUAAGUCCCGCAACGAGCGCAACCCUUAUCUUUGUUUUUCAGCACUUCGGGUGGGUUCUCCAGGGAGACCUCCGGUGAUAAACCGGAGGAAGGUGGGGACGACGUCAAGUCAUCAUGCCCCUUACGAGUAGGGCUACACACGUCCUACAAUGGCAUAUACAGAGGGCAGCAAGACUUCGAGGUGGAGCGAAUCCCAGAAAGUAUGUCGUAGUCCGGAUCGGAGUCUGCAACUCGACUCCGUGAAGUCGGAAUCGUUAGUAAUCGUGGAUCUGAAUGCCACCGUGAAUACGUUCCCGGCCCUUGUACACACCCCCCGUCUCACCAUGGGAGUGGUUUGCACCAGAAGUAGAUAGCUUAACCUUCGGGAGGGCGUUUACCACGGUGUGGUUCAUGACUGGGGUGAAGUCGUCACAAGGUAACCG
rnacentral:rRNA from 1 species